UACGUAGGUGGCUAGCGUUGUCCGGAUUUACUGGGCGUAAAGGGCUCGUAGGCGGCCAACUAAGUCGGACGUGAAAUCCCUCGGCUCAACCGGGGAACUGCGUCCGAUACUGGAUGGCUUGAGUUCGGGAGAGGGAUGCGGAAUUCCAGGUGUAGCGGUGAAAUGCGUAGAUAUCUGGAGGAACACCGGUGGCGAAGGCGGCAUCCUGGACCGACACUGACGCUGAGGAGCGAAAGCCAGGGGAGCAAACGGG
rnacentral:rRNA from 1 species